GAUGAACGCUGGCGGCGUGCCUAAUACAUGCAAGUCGAGCGAACAGAUGAGGAGCUUGCUCCUCUGACGUUAGCGGCGGACGGGUGAGUAACACGUGGAUAACCUACCUAUAAGACUGGGAUAACUUCGGGAAACCGGAGCUAAUACCGGAUAAUAUAUUGAACCGCAUGGUUCAAUAGUGAAAGACGGUUUUGCUGUCACUUAUAGAUGGAUCCGCGCCGCAUUAGCUAGUUGGUAAGGUAACGGCUUACCAAGGCAACGAUGCGUAGCCGACCUGAGAGGGUGAUCGGCCACACUGGGACUGAGACACGGCCCAGACUCCUACGGGAGGCAGCAGUGGGGAAUAUUGGACAAUGGGCGAAAGCCUGAUCCAGCAAUGCCGCGUGAGUGAUGUAGGCCUUAGGGUUGUAAAGCUCUUUUACCCGGGAUGAUAAUGACAGUACCGGGAGAAUAAGCUCCGGCUAACUCCGUG
rnacentral:rRNA from 1 species